rfam:Ictidomys tridecemlineatus contig072329, whole genome shotgun sequence.
UGGGUUGUGGCUCAGUGGUAGAGCACUUGCCUAGCAUGCAUAAGGCACUCAGUUCAAUCCUCAGCACCACAU